UCGAGGAGUUACGUGAUCUAUGCGACGGGGCCAGACAUGCUGGUGGCGUGGCACUGCUCACGCUUCAUCUUCGAUGCCUUGUCGCCAUAACGUUUCCUCGCUUUACUAUGGCUUCUGCGAUUCUUUGCCAGCUGCCCGCAGUGGGUAUGGACGUCACCAACGGAGACUUCACUGGUGUUCAACGUGCCGCCUGCAGGAAUUGUGCGUGCGAUUCAUACCGAAGACUGACAGAUAUUAGCCGGUACACGGCACAAGUGUUAACCGGAAGAUGCGUCCAGUGCUGGCACUCAACUGUCGACCAUGUGCAAGUUCUGCCUUGAAGCAGAAUUCCGAUUCGAGACCAGGAUGGGAAGCAUGGAGGAAACGCUGCACAACGGGUGACAACUGCCAUAUCAACAGCCCCCACAAAGAGAUGGAGAGCCGCUGUAAUAUGGUGAUCAUAUGCCCUGAGCAACAAACAGGUCUGCAUCCCAGCGGAACUCGGUUCGUAGCGAGGUUUUCAAGCUUGCAAAUAGCUUCGCAGCAGCGGCGUGGAGCCGCGUCGUUUCGUGCAAUCUCUGAUAUUUUGACUAUAUGUAGUAGUUCUUAUUCAUUUUUAUUUUCUCUGAGUCAUAGUUUGCCAGUUUAGUCAAU